GGAGAGGUGUCCGAGUGGCUGAAGGAGCACGCUUGGAAAGCGUGUAAACGGCAACGUUUCGUGGGUUCGAAUCCCACCCUCUCCGCCA
rnacentral:tRNA from 2 species